rnacentral:rRNA from 1 species
UACGUAGGGCGCAAGCGUUGUCCGGAAUUAUUGGGCGUAAAGAGCUCGUAGGCGGCCUGUCGCGUCUGCUGUGAAAUCCCGGGGCUUAACCCCGGGCGUGCAGUGGAUACGGGCUGGCUGGAGGCAGGCAGGGGAGAACGGAAUUCCCGGUGUAGCGGUGAAAUGCGCAGAUAUCGGGAGGAACACCCGUGGCUAAGGCGGCUCUCUAGUACGGUACUGACGCUGAGACGCGAAAGCGUGGGGAGCGAACAGG